rnacentral:rRNA from 1 species
UACAGAGGGGACAAGCGUUGUUCGGAAUUACUGGGCGUAAAGGGCGCGUAGGCGGUUCGUUAAGUCCUGUGUGAAAUCCCCCGGCUCAACUGGGGAACUGCACAGGAAACUAGCGGGCUUGAGUUCGGGAGAGGGAAGCGGAAUUCCGGGUGUAGCGGUGAAAUGCGUAGAUAUCCGGAGGAACACCGGUGGCGAAGGCGGCUUCCUGGACCGACACUGACGCUGAGGCGCGAAAGCUAGGGGAGCAAACGGG